ACUCAAAGGAAUUGACGGGGGCCCGCACAAGCGGUGGAGCAUGUUGUUUAAUACGUCACUAACCGUAGAACCUUACCAGGGCUUGACAUCUGCUGACUGCCGGUGAAAGCCGGUUUCUGGAGCAAUCCAGCAGCAAGACAGGUGUUGCAUGGCUGUCGUCAGCUCGUGUCGUGAGAUGUUGGGUUAAGUCCCGCAACGAGCGCAACCCUCACGCGAUGUUGCCAGCGGGUAAUGCCGGGAACUCUUCGUGAACUGCCUGGGUAACCGGGAGGAAGGUGGGGAUGACGUCAAGUCAGCAUGGCCCUUACGCCCUGGGCUACAAACAUGCUACAAUGGACGGUAGACAGAGCGAUCCGAGACCGCGAGGUGGAGGCAAUCGCAAAAAUCCGUUCUCAGUUCGGAUUGCAGGCUGCAACUCGCCUGCAUGAAGUCGGAAUCGCUAGUAACCGCAGAUCAGCUAAGCUGCGGUGAAUACGUUCCCGGGCCUUGUACACACCGCCCGU
rnacentral:rRNA from 1 species